ACGCUCGACACCUACGGGAGCAGCAGUGGGGAAUAUUGCACAAUGGGGGAAACCCUGAUGCAGCGACGCCGCGUGAGCGAAGAAGUAUUUCGGUAUGUAAAGCUCUAUCAGCAGGGAAGAAAAUGACGGUACCUGACUAAGAAGCCCCGGCUAACUACGUGCCAGCAGCCGUGGUAAUCUGAGCGGGCUGGCAAGGC
rnacentral:rRNA from 1 species